UUCAGAGGAGGCUCUUCUGAGGCUGCUGCCAGUGGUCAAAGCCUCCAACAAAGCUCUAUUAAGUUCCUGUAAACUGUCACAGAGAAGCUGUGAAGCUCUGUCCUCACUUCUCAGCUCACAGUCCUCUAUUCUGAGAGACCUAGACCUGAGUAACAACAACCUGCAGGAUGCAGGCGUGAAGAUUCUGUUUGCUGAAGUGAAGAGUCCACACUGGAAACUGGAAACUCUCAGACUAAGUGGCUGUAACCUCUCAGAGAGAAGCUGUGAAGCUGUGUCCUCAGCUCUGAGCUCUCAGUACUCCAGUCUGAGAGUGUUGGACCUGAGUAACAACAACAUUCAGGAUGCAGGCGUGAAGAUUCUGUCUGUUGGAGUAAAGAGUCCUUACUGUAAACUCGAAACUCUCAGACUAAGUGUUUGUAACCUGUCAGAAAGAUGCUGUGAAGCUCUGUCCUCAGUUCUCAGCUCUCAGUCCUCAAGCCUGAGAGAGCUGGAUCUGAAUAACAAUGACCUGGAGGAUUCAGGAGUGAAGCUUCUGUCUGCUGGAGUUGAAAGUCCACACUGUACAUUGGGAAUUCUACGGGUGGAGCCUGCUGGAGUCCGAUGGUUGAGACCAGGUCUGAGGAAGUG